GGGCGAUUAGCUCAGUUGGGAGAGCGCCUGCCUUACAAGCAGGAUGUCGGGGGUUCAAGUCCCUCAUCGCCCA
rnacentral:tRNA from 2 species